GAUGAACGCUGGCGGCGUGCCUAAUACAUGCAAGUCGAGCGAACGGACGAGAAGCUUGCUUUUCUGAUGUUAGCGGCGGACGGGUGAGUAACACGUGGAUAACCUACCUAUAAGACUGGGAUAACUUCGGGAAACCGGAGCUAAUACCGGAUAAUAUUUUGAACAGCAUGGUUCAAAAGUGAAAGACGGUCUUGCUGUCACUUAUAGAUGGAUCCGCGCUGCAUUAGCUAGUUGGUAAGGUAACGGCUUACCAAGGCAACGAUGCAUAACCGACCUGAGAGGGUGAUCCGCCCACCGGGAACUUAGAGCCGGUCCCCACCCCAUCGGGGAGCAACCAGAGGGAAUCCUCCCCAAUUGGCCGAAGGCCGGAAGAGCAACCGCGGGCGCAGGCAUGAAGUCUUCCGGUCGGUAAAGCCCUGUCUUCAGGAAGAACAUAUGUGUAAGUAACUGUGCACAUCUUGACGGUACCUAAUCAGAAAGCCACGGCUAACUCCGUG
rnacentral:rRNA from 1 species